UGUCUGCCCUAGAUCGCCGGAAUUCAGAAGAUUAACCACCUACAGUGCAGCAACAGGGGAUCAUAUGAAAUUGUGGGAUAUGUUCUCGGCAGCAAAUUUGUCUCUGCUGUGGAUUAACAAUCAAGGCUGAGGAAUAAGGACUUUGACGCGAGACGAGUAUCUCGGAGUCAGAUUUGGA